UACGAAGGGGGCUAGCGUUGCUCGGAAUCACUGGGCGUAAAGGGUGCGUAGGUGGUGGGGUAAGUCGGAUGUGAAAGCUCGGAGCUCAACUCCGAAAUGGCAUUGGAAACUACCCUGCUAGAGGAUUGGAGGGGGGACUGGAAUACUUGGUGUAGCAGUGAAAUGCAUAGAUACCACCCAGAACUCCGAUUGCGAAGGCAGCCUACUGGAGGUUAACCGACGCUCAGGCACGAAAGCGUGGGGAUCAAACAGG
rnacentral:rRNA from 1 species